rnacentral:rRNA from 1 species
ACUCCUACGGGAGGCAGCAGUGGGGAAUAUUGCACAAUGGGCGCAAGCCUGAUGCAGCCAUGCCGCGUGUAUGAAGAAGGCCUUCGGGUUGUAAAGUACUUUCAGCAGUGAGGAAGGUAGUGUAGUUAAUAGCUGCAUUAUUUGACGUUAGCGACAGAAGAAGCACCGGCUAACUCCGUGCCAGCAGCCGCGGUAAUACGGAGGGUGCGAGCGUUAAUCGGAAUUACUGGGCGUAAAGCGCAUGCAGGUGGUUUGUUAAGUCAGAUGUGAAAGCCCGGGGCUCAACCUCGGAAUUGCAUUUGAAACUGGCAGACUAGAGUACUGUAGAGGGGGGUAGAAUUUCAGGUGUAGCGGUGAAAUGCGUAGAGAUCUGAAGGAAUACCGGUGGCGAAGGCGGCCCCCUGGACAGAUACUGACACUCAGAUGCGAAAGCGUGGGAGCAAACAGGAUUAGAUACCCUGGUAGGUGA